rnacentral:lncRNA from 1 species
UUGGAGUGUGCAGGACACUGCUUUUGACUUGUUAUGACUCUGUGGUGGCAUCAGUGAUCUUUUACGAUGUGGUCUGCUGGAGUUGUGGAAGCUCAGAGGGACAGGAAGAGACUCAACAAACUGGUCAGAAGGGCUGGCUCACUCCUGGACUGCUCUCUGGACUCUUGAGGAGGUGGGUGAGAGGAGGAUGUUAGCCAAGACAUCAAUUAUGGACACCCCCUCUCACCCCCUACACGAGACUGUGGGGGCCUUAAGCAGCUCCUUUAGCAGCAGACUGUUACACCCACGGUGUAAAAAGGAACGGUACCGCAGGUCAUUCAUCCCAACUGUUGUCAGUUUGCACAACAAUCACAACUUGUAAUGUAGCACCAAUAACCCAUGGUUGGCAUAUUUUUUUCUGCACUACUUAAUCAUACUACCUCCGGAAUCUCUUAUUUGCACAUUCAUUUUUCUUAUAGUGUAAUAUUCCCUUCUGUAUAUAAUUUCCCCCUCUGUAUACAAUGUAUAAUUUACAUACUAAUGUACAUAACAUAAUAGUUUUUCUUUUAGUGUUGUAUACCACUGGCUACUUCUGUAACACGCAAAUUUCCCCGAUGUUGGAUCAAUAAAGUUCUUAUCUUAUGCGAUUUUUCAACUGGUCUUAAAAUUUUGAUCAGGAAUGUAUUUUUACAGGUCUUUUCAACAGCUCCACAGUGCUCUUGUCAUUCGUCUGUUGUCCUUAAUUUGCUAACUUGAGCUCCGUUUGGUUCUGGUCCUUUUUAUGCUUUUAUCCUUUCAUUGAAGCAAUAUGCAAGGGCUUCAAGAACCUAUUCCUGAGGUUGCACUGUAGAGCCAAUUCUGUGGGCCCAUUUAUGGAAACUUCAUCAAAAGGCCACGUUUGAACAUUUUUGGAAAGGUUUUGCGCAUACAGUUCUACAGCAAAUGAAGACAAAUGAAGAGCCUUUCGAGACAUUUAUGGGAAGUGAAGACAAUCUGACCAUUGACAAGAAUAUUAUAUCUAGACUAAAACAGAGGGUGACUGAGGCCAGAAGACUUGGUGAGCAACUGAAAGUGUCCAAAAACAGAAUUCAUGAGAUGAAGAAGCAGUUGGCCUCGCAGAGGAAGCAGAUGGCAACUAAUGAUGUAACAUGGAAUCACACAGAGGCUGAAGAGGAGGAUCUUGUGAUAAAAAGCCUAUCUCUCCAAAUUGAGCAAGAAAAAACAAACUAUAAGACUGUCAUCAGCCGUCUUAAAGAACUGAGGAGAAAAAUUGAGCGCCAGCAACUCUACCUGGCUUAAAAAAAACUGCAAAAGGAUUUCCAAAGACAUUGGGCCCAGGGAGUCACCUUAGUGCAGGUCACACAAAAAAAGCAUAACGGCUAUAUUAACAAUAUGUCGCAUACUUUUUAGGCCAAGCUUAAAGUAGAGCUGACAUCUCUUAUUUUGUCAUGGGACGUUUUUAUUUUACCAUUUGUUUGAUUGCUGGAAAUAGGACUCCAACAGAUGCUACAGCCAGAUAAACACAAGUGACAAUUCUGAGGUGUUUCUUUGUAAUUAUUUUAUGUUUUUGUAUGUGAUGAGUGUUGUGAAGUACAUAUUUUUGUCUGUGAGAGUGAAAUAAAUAAAUAUCAUUAGUCU